CAGUCAACUCGUUUUAAAUUUGCAAAAUAGGUGGUUUUACGAUAAGAAACUCCCAACUUUCCUGACAGCCUGACGUCUCUGUUACUUAUUUAUCAAGCUAUUGUCCUGCUAAAAUGCAUUUGUAUAAGAUUGUCAUUUGCUGAAUCAAUUUUUGCAUACAUUCCUAACCGAUUCGAUCACUUUCAUAUUGAAUUAAACUUAACACUCCUAACAGAAGACUGAAAAAAGAUGACAAAAGGAAAACUGCUAUAAAAUUAUUCUAAAUCGAAUUCUAAACCAUUAACCUGAUACGAGUAUACAUCUUAAAUAAGUAUAUUUCUUUCGUACCAUAACAUAAAUGGUCUUAAUUUAAAUACUUUGUUUAUGCACAUUGGUACCUUGCAAAGAGCGUGUAAAAACGCAAAACGGAGUGUUAAUAUUCCAUUUGUCGUCAUAAAAUUAACAAUUUGCAAUACAAAACGUUGUUUGUUUGUUAAAAACGAAACGUAGUUUAUUCGUUAGUUGUCUAAAACAAGAAUCAUACUGAAUUUUCGCAUUUGUUUUGAGGACAAGAAAACCGAGAAAAUCACAAUCAUGGAUGAUUAAUUUAUCCUUCACAGACUGGAUGAUUUUGAAGGUGAGUGCUGUUAAAGGUUUGUCACUUUCGUUUAAAUUCAGAAAACCAAUUAAAAACAGUUGUCUUCAAUAGGGAAUAGUUCCAAAAAUAACAGCGUAAAGUUUCAUCAGAUUCUCUAGAUGAAUUCCCUGCUUUUUGAAAUCACAAAAAAAUAUACCAAACUCGUUGAUAUCGACGAUUUUUUGUGUAUCAAGAAUAACGAUGUCGCAUUGCAAUUAAUGAAGCAAACAUCAAGACACUUACAUUUUCAGGGUCUAUUUAUCUUUUUUAUCUAGUUUUUGGGUCCCUAUUAUGCACCCCUCUGUUAACAAGGCAAUGAAAAUGCAGUUACAAAACAAGACAGCGAUUAUUCGAUUACAUAAUGCGUUACCUUCAGCGUUGUUUAAAAGCAUAAUAGUUUUUGAUAUUGAACGUUUAAUAAGAAAUAAUCUUAACAUGUGUGCAAACUUCAUUUUUAUCAUAACUGGAAAGGAUAUUACACAAUCUCAAAGAUUUAUGUAACACUAACAUUUGCAAUGGCAUGUUUUCAAUUAUAGCAGAAAAUACACAGAUCUAUAAACUACAAAUAUCAGAGUAACAUUAAAACAUUUUGAUUGUAAUUAUAGCCAGGUCUCAAGUACUGAUGCAAUUCGCAUUUCUUCCAGAAAAUGAUUUGAUCGUGUUGCAAUAAACAAGGAUUUUUAUUUUCCGCGCUGAGUCAAGUGGCUUGACUUCAUCUGAAAAUGUUGCGCCCUCUAUUACCCAACCUUGUAGUCAUGACACCAUCCCACUUCAACACGCCUUAAUUAAAGUGCAAGGAUUCGAUCUAUAAUUUUAUUCACUUCAAUAUUACAUAAUUAUAUACAUUCAAAAGUAAAAAUUAAUAAAAUGCCAACAUUCAACAAAACCAAAGUUGUUAAAGCGCCCCAGCUGAUAGUUGUCGACAUGUUGGCCAAACAAUUCAAAACCUCUAGACAUUGUAACAUAAAUACUUAAAAAGUAAACGUAGAUACCUCGCUGUUUUUAGUUUUUUUCCAGUUAAUUAAACCUAUGAAAUGCUACAAAUUAACACCGAGCAGCGCUCCUAUUUUGCUCAUGGAACUUCCUCAUUCUUUCUUCUAAUUCUGGUCUAAAAUGCCUGAUGAGUCCCUGAACUGGCCACGCAGCACCGUCGCCGAGAGCGCAAAUGGUGUGCCCUUCGAUCUGCUUACUCAGCUCCCACAACAUGUCGAUUUCCUCGGGUUUGGCAUUGCCGUCAACAAAUCUGUACAUGAUUUUGUUCAUCCAAUUGAUUCCUUCGCGGCAAGGAGUGCACUGGCCGCAGGACUCGUGCUUGUAAAACAUGAUCAAUCUGGCGAUAGCUUUGACAAUAUCGGUUUGCUUGUUCAUCACAAUGAUGGCAGCGGUUCCCAAGCUUGUCUGGGCCGCGACCAGGCCGUCGAAAUCCAUGAUAACGUCCUCGCAAACACUGAAACAUGUUUCAUGUCACGUUAUAAAUUCAAAAAUUGUCUAUGG